rnacentral:rRNA from 1 species
UGCGUAGGCGGCCUAUUAAGUCAGUUCUGAAAUAUCCCGGCUUAACCGGGAGGGUGGGAUUGAUACUGAUGGGCUUGAGUGGAGUCGAGGUAGGCGGAAUUGACGGUGUAGCGGUGAAAUGCUUAGAUAUCGUCAAGAACACCGAUAGUGUAGACAGCUUACUAGACUUCAACUGACGCUGAGGCACGAAAGUGUGGGGAUCAAACAGGAUUAGAUACCCUGGUAGUCCACACUGUAAACGUUGAUUACUCGCUGUGUGCGAUAUACAGUACGCGGCUUAGCGAAAGCGAUAAGUAAUCCACCUGGGGAGUACGCCGGCAACGGUGAA